AUGUGAUGUGAGUCUCCUUCCUGACCCUUCCUGCAAGGAUCUGUGGGACAGACCCAGCAGGUGGUGCCCCAUGUAAGAAGCAAUGAAAUGCAUCAUGAUGGAACCCUCAAAAACGAAAGUGAAGUUACUGCACACCCCUUAGGUCCUCUUUGGAUUCCAGCAUGAUGCAUCAAACCUUACCACGGCAUGACUAGGGCCCAACCUGCUACCAGAAAUAAAGGAAAUGACGAUGCAGAACCCACAACCCUGGAUGAUGUGGCUUCCUUGGAUGACACAGGCCCCAGACAUUACCUGGGGAAUGCUGAAGAACACAACUCAGGAGGCUGAACAAAUCUGCUUCAGACACAGAUACCAUUCAAUCCAUAUAAUUUGUUCUUUGCUAUGCUUUUUAUUCCACAUUGCAACUCUUAUAGAAUACUGAUUCUUCUUAUUCUCUCUUUUUGCCUGCAACCCACACCUGCUAUAAACUAUUGGGCCCAUCUUCUAGAUCUGCCUUUCUUACGGCAUUUUACUUGGGAAGGUACCCCCUUCUCAGCCUCUGACAACGUGACCAAUUGGCUGGGAGGUAUUGACUUACCCCCGGUGGGGUCCCUCAGUAAUGGCACACAUUGGACUCAGGUGCCAAGUAACAUUACAUAUCAAUCCUUGAUUGGAAAAGAAUAAUAUUGAUUAUACUCAUGUUUGUCUUAUGUUAUUUACUGGUUCUAGGGUGCAAAGCUGGAACACAAACUGUAACCAUUGCACCAGUCAAACCUGUCGCUGCUCAGAUCUGUAUGCUUCAAUCAACAAAACCUGAUGCAAAAAAACAGAAAAAGGGGAGAUGUGGGAGAUUGGUCAGAGUGGUGGAAAAAGGAUAGGGAAAGAACGCAAAUUUUCUGAAAUGUUGGAAGGUCCUGCAGAGCUCCAGGGGAGAAUAGCUGAAGGCAGCUGUUCUAUAACCCUGAGGCAGAGAGCAAGCAGUAGGUACAAGGGAG
rnacentral:lncRNA from 1 species